GGAGAGCGGGAGAGACGGAGGUCUAGAGAGCGAGAGGGAGAGAGACAGAGCCCUGAGGCAGUGAGUUGCAGCCUGUGGAGGAUGGAAGAGGCUGGGUAUAAUGACGCGGGGGCCCAGUCUCCAUGACCAGAGCUCUCCAUGGCGACCCUAGAGCCAGAGAUAGAGAUGGAGGGUCAUGGUGAAAGUGAAAUGAGCAGAGAGAGCGAUGGAUGGUCAGGGUGAAAGUGAAAUGAGCAGAGAGAGCGAUGGAGAAAAAGAUGAAGAGGUAUAAUGAGGGUCCGUCUCUCUCCAAUAACAUGAUGAAGAUGCAUAUGAAGGAUCAGAGGAAGAGGCACACUGGGCUGGAGAGAAAGAGGAAGAGCAAAUUGGAAACCCCAAGAAGAUGAUAUCGUCCACUGAACCCCCUUUCUUCCUCAAAAGGAUCAGAGUUAAUCUGAUCUUUCAAGGACCUUUGAAGCAGCAAAUUGAGGAAAUGUCUGAUUUUCAAGGUUUUGUCGUGCCCUAUUCACGACUGUCUUGGUGUGCUUUGACCAUGUUAUUUUGUUGGCGAUGUGGAAGCCAAGGAACUUGAAGCUCUCAACCUGCUCCACUACAGCCCCGUCGAUGAGAAUGGGGGCGUGCUCAGUCUUCUUUUUCCUGUAGUCCACAAUCAUCUCCUUUGUCUUGAUCACAUUGAGUGAGAGGUUGUUGUCCUGCCACCACAUGACCAGGUAUCUGACCACCUCCCUAUAGGCUGUCUUGUCGUUGUCGGUGAUCAGGCCUACCACUGUUGUGUCAUCUGCAAAGCUAAUGAUGGUGUUGGAGUCGUGCCUGGCCGUGCAGUCAUGAUUGUUUAGGGAGUACAGGAGGGGACUGAGCACGCACCCUUGAGGGGCCCAUGUGUUGAGGAUCAGCGUGGCGGAUGUGUUGUUACCUACCCUUAAUCUUUAUGUAAUUUAUCUUUGUUUCAUAGUGAAGUCUCUUCUUUUUAUUCAGUUUAGUCACAUGAUUUUUCAAUUUGUAGUAUGUUUGCCAAUGGGUUGUGCAGCCAGACUUAUUUGCCAUUCCUUUUGCCUCAUCCCUCUCAACCACACAAUUUUUCAAUUCCUCAUCAACCCACAGGUAUUUAACCAUUUUACAGUCAUUUUCUUAAUGGGUGCAUGCUUAUUAGUAACUGGGAUAAGAAAUUUCAUAAAUGUUUCAAGUGCAGCGUCUGUUUGCUCCUCAUUA
rnacentral:lncRNA from 1 species